UUUAGCUCAGUUGGUCAGAGCGAGCGACUCAUAAUCGCCAGGUCGCUGGUUCAAGUCCAGCAA
rnacentral:tRNA from 1 species